AUGUUUCAGACUCAGAACCUUGUUUCAGACUCAGUAUCUUGUUUCAGGCUCAGUAUCAUGUUUCAGGCUCAGUAUCUUGUUUCAGACUCAGUAUGUGGUUUCAGACUGGGUAUCUUGUUUCAGAUUCAGUAUCAUGUUUCAGACUUAGUACCUUGUUUUAGACUCAGUAUCUUGUUUCAGACUCAGUAUCAUGUUUCAGGCUCAGUAUCUUGUUUCAGACUCAGUAUCAUGUUUCAAGCUCAGCAUCAUGUUUCAGACUCAGUACCUUGUUUCAGACUCGGUAUCAUGUUUCAAGCUCAGUAUCAUGUUUCAGGCUCAGUAUCAUGUUUCAGACUCAGUACCUUGUUUCAGACUCAGUAUCUUGUCUCAGACUCAGUAUCAUGUUUCAGACUCAGUAUCUCGUUUCAGACUCAGUAUUAUGUUUCAGACUCAGUAUCAUAUUUCAGUCUCAGUAUCUUGUUUCAGACUCAGUGUCAUGUUUCAAGCUCAGUAUCAUGUUUCAGGCUCAGUAUCAUGUUUCAAGCUCAGUAUCAUGUUUCAGGCUCAGUAUCAUGUUUCAGACUCAGUAUCAUAUUUCAGACUCAGUAUCUUGUUUCAGACUCAGUAUCAUGUUUCAGACUCAGUAUUAUGUUUCAGACUCAGUAUUAUGUUUCAGACUCAGUAUCAUAUUUCAGACUCAGUAUCUUGUUUCAGACUCAGUACCUUGUUUCAGACUCAGUAUCAUGUUUCAAGCUCAGUAUCAUGCUUCAGGCUCAGUAUCAUGUUUCAGACUCAGUACCUUGUUUCAGACUCAGUAUCUUGUUUCAGACUCAGCAUCAUGUUUCAGACUCAAUAUCUCGUUUCAGACUCAGUAUCAUGUUUCAGGCUCAGUAUCAUGUUUCAGACUCAGUACCUUGUUUCAGACUCAGUAUCAUGUUUCAGACUCAGUAUCAUGUUUCAGGCUCAGUAUCAUGUUUCAGACUCAGUACCUUGUUUCAGACUCAGUAUCAUGUUUCAAGCUCAGUAUCAGAGUGUUGCAUUCACAGCCUGACAAACGUCUUGAGAAACGAGCCUCUCUCUGCAUCUCUUCAGCUCAGACGGGCUGGACCACAGACUGGACCACUCGGGGGUUGGUUCUGGGCCACAUGUGGCCCGCGGGCCACUAAUUUAACGGGCCUGGCUUAA
rnacentral:lncRNA from 1 species